UAACCAUGAUUCCCUUAGUAACGGCGAGUGAAGUGGGAAGUGCUCAAAUUUAAAAUCCCUUUUGGGAAUUGUAAUUUAUAGAAUAAAUGGUUAGUAAGUGGAGAUUAAAGUCUGCUGGAAAGCAUGCGCUAGAAAGGGUGAUAGCCCCGUUCAGUCUCUUAACUUGCUUCUAUGCCAUUAUUUCAACGAGUCAGGUUGCUUGGGAAUGCAGCCUAAAUUUGGUGGUAAACUCCAUCUAAAGCUAAAUAUUGAUCAGUGACCCGAUAGCAAACAAGUACCGUGAGGGAAAGAUGAAAAGAACCUUGAAAAGGGGGUUAAAAGUACGUGAAAUUGUUAUUAGGAAAGCACUUAGUCUCAUUGUGGAUUAGAUCAGUCUGUUUCGGCAGAUACUGUCCUAAUUAGUUAUGAUCAGUUAGCGUUGAUAAAGAAAAUUUGUGAUAAGGUAUUAGUGUAGUGCUAAACGUAAAGAUCACUUAUUAUUUGUCGAUACUGACUGAGGAAUGCUACUUAAUCUUUUUGAGUAAAUAGCUUGUGGAGUUAGGCUAAACAACAUGUUGAUUAGCUUAAUUAAAGCGAUCUAUUUGCUCUANAACUUGAGUACAGGAUCAUAANUAAAUGAUACUAAAUGA
rnacentral:rRNA from 1 species